GUAAACUACUACAAAUAAAAAUUAACACAAAAAAAAAUGUAGUGAACAAAAUUUAUAUUUUUCGGCAAAAAACCAAGUCAAAAUUAUCGGUUCAAAGGUUGUUUUCCCAUUUGGCAAUCCUUUACAAACAAAAACAACAACAAAACAAAACAAACAUUGGCGAUGUUAAGUAUAAUAUAAUAAUAAUUAUUAUUGUUUGCGUUACACUCCGUCACCAUGUGUUCAAGCCCGGAAAAUUUAUUAAACACUUUUUUUUCCCCCCCUAAGGGGGGGAUGUACGAUAGGUUGAUUGCUUCUCGGCUAUACGAGGCGUAACGGUAUCCAAAAUAUAUGCGAGUGCGUUACAGUUAGGAGAUAUCCAAGUGGAGUUGUCAUUAACGUGUCUGCUAUGCUCAAAUGCACAAGAGAAAUUUAUACAUUUGCUUACUCUUCAUUUCUACCACCAUUCUCAUAAAAUUUCGUAGCAGCACAGCUUUAGAAGGAAAUCAAGGUUGAGAUCACUUAUGUAUGUAACGGGACCAGUUUCUGCGAUGGCGUUACAAUGUUAUUAAAGAUACGAUGUAGUUAAAAAGUCAAUAAUAAAAAAUAAUUUGUCAUCACA